rnacentral:rRNA from 1 species
GGCCUUGACAUACUAAGAACUUUCCAGAGAUGGAUUGGUGCCUUCGGGAACUUAGAUACAGGUGCUGCAUGGCUGUCGUCAGCUCGUGUCGUGAGAUGUUGGGUUAAGUCCGCAACGAGCGCAACCCUUUUCCUUAUUUGCCAGCGGGUCAUGCCGGGAACUUUAAGGAUACUGCCAGUGACAAACUGGAGGAAGGCGGGGACGACGUCAAGUCAUCAUGGCCCUUACGGCCAGGGCUACACACGUGCUACAAUGGUCGGUACAAAGGGUUGCUACCUCGCGAGGGGAUGCUAAUCUCAAAAAGCCGAUCGUAGUCCGGAUCGCAGUCUGCAACUCGACUGCGUGAAGUCGGAAUCGCUAGUAAUCGCGGAUCAGAAUGCCGCGGUGAAUACGUUCCCGGGCCUUGUACACACCGCCCGUCACACCAUGGGAGUUUGUUGCACCAGAAGUAGGUAGUCUAACCGCAAGGAGGACGCUUACCACGGUGUGGCCGAUGACUGGGGUGAAGUCGUAACAAGGUAAGCGUAGAUGA